AAAUUCCUUGUCGGGUAAGUUCCGACCCGCACGAAAGGCGUAAUGAUUUGAGCACUGUCUCGACAAUGCAUCCGGUGAAAUUGAAGUACCAGUGAAGAUGCUGGUUACCCGCGCCAGGACGGAAAGACCCCAUGGAGCUUUACUCCAGUUUGGUACUGGGAUUCGGUACUGCAUGUACAGGAUAGGUGGGAGACUGAGAAAUUGGAACGCCAGUUUCAAUGGAGUCACUGUUGGGAUACCACCCCUGCAGUAUUGGGUUUCUAACCAGCCGCUGUGAUCCAGCGGUGGGACAAUGCCAGGCGGGGAGUUUGACUGGGGCGGUCGCCUCCGAAAGGGUAUCGGAGGCGCUCAAAGGUUCCCUCAGAAUGGUUGGAAACCAUUUGAAGAGUGCAAAGGCAGAAGGGAGCUUGACUGCGACACCGACGGGUGGAGCAGGUACGAAAGUAGGACUUAGUGAUCCGGUGGUAUGAAAGUGGGAUUGCCAUCGCUCAACGGAUAAAAGCUACCCUGGGAUAACAGGCUUAUCACUCCCAAGAGUUCACAUCGACGGAGUGGUUUGGCACCUCGAUGUCGGCUCAUCGCAUCCUGGGGCUGUAGUAGGUCCCAAGGGUUGGGCUGUUCGCCCAUUAAAGCGGUACGCGAGCUGGGUUCAGAACGUCGUGAGACAGUUCGGUCCCUAUCCGGCGCGGGCGGAGGAUAUUUGAGAGGAGCUGUCCUUAGUACGAGAGGACCGGGAUGGACGGACCACUGGUGUAUCUGCUGUCGACCAACGGCAUGGCAGAGUAGCCAAGUCCGGAAGGGAUAAACGCUGAAGGCAUCUAAGCGUGAAGCCCCCCUCAAGAUGAGAUAUCCCAUAACAUAAGUUAGUAAGACCCCUUGAAGACGACGAGGUAGAUAGGCAGAAGGUGGAAGUGUGGUGACAUAUGGAGCUGAUCUGUACUAAUAGGUCGAGGAA
rnacentral:rRNA from 1 species